UGACUGAAGCUCUCUUUAGUACGAAAGGACCAAGAAAGCAGGACCAAUACCAACUGCACGUCCUCACAAUAAAGUUGAAAUCAACUUAAACCACUAUUCCACAAAUAAGCCGUAAACAACGGCUUAGUUAGGGUGGCAGAGCCAAGUAUUGCAAAAGACCUAAGAUCUUUACAACAGAAGUGCAAAUCUUCUCCCUAACC
rnacentral:misc_RNA from 1 species